AGUUUUAUAGUUUAAUAAAAUAUUAAAUUGCAAAUUUAAAGAUAGAAACAAUUCUUAAAACUU
rnacentral:tRNA from 1 species